rnacentral:rRNA from 1 species
GACGAACGCUGGCGGCGUGCUUAACACAUGCAAGUCGAACGGAAAGGCCCUGCUUUUGUGGGGUGCUCGAGUGGCGAACGGGUGAGUAACAAGUGAGUAACCUGCCCUUGACUUUGGGAUAACUUCAGGAAACUGGGGCUCAUACCGGAUAGGAGCUCCUGCUGCAUGGUGGGGGUUGGAUAGUUUCGGCGGUUGGGGAUGGACUCGCGGCUUAUCAGCUUGUUGGUGGGGUAGUGGCUUACCAAGGCUUUGACGGGUAGCCGGCCUGAGAGGGUGACCGGCCACAUUGGGACGGGGAUACGGCCCAGACUCCUACGGGAGGCAGCAGGGGGGAAUAUUGCACAAUGGGCGGAAGCCUGAUGCAGCAACGCCGCGUGCGGGAUGACGGCCUUCGGGUUGUAAACCGCUUUCGCCUGUGACGAAGCGUGAGUGACGGUAAUGGGUAAAGAAGCACCGGCUAACUACGUG